ACCAGACUCCUACGGGAGGCAGCAGUGAGGGAUAUUGGGCAAUGGGGGAAACCCUGACCCAGCGACGCCGCGUGAGGGAAGACGGUCUUCGGAUUGUAAACCUCUGUCUUUGGGGACGAAAAAGGACGGUACCCAAGGAGGAAGCCCCGGCUAACUACGUGCCAGCAGCCGCGGUAAUACGUAGGGGGCAAGCGUUAUCCGGAUUUACUGGGUGUAAAGGGGGCGCAGACGGCGAUGCAAGCCAGGAGUGAAAGCCCGGGGCCCAACCCCGGGACUGCUCUUGGAACUGCGUGGCUAGAGUGCAGGAGGGGCAGGCGGAAUUCCUGGUGUAGCGGUGAAAUGCGUAGAUAUCAGGAGGAACACCGGUGGCGAAGGCGGCCUGCUGGACUGCAACUGACGUUGAGGCCCGAAAGCGUGGGGAGCAAACAGGAUUAGAUACCCCCGUACU
rnacentral:rRNA from 1 species